rfam:Stereum hirsutum FP-91666 SS1 unplaced genomic scaffold STEHIscaffold_4, whole genome shotgun sequence.
GGCCGGCUAGCGUAAUGGUUAACGCGCUAGUUUCCGGCGGAGUCUGAAUCCGUGUUAGCUAGAGAUUCUGGGUUCGAGUCCCAGGUUGGUCG